rnacentral:rRNA from 1 species
GUAACAAGGUUUCCGUAGGUGAACCUGCGGAAGGAUCAUUACAGUAGUCACCCGGGUUGCCGCAAGGCCGCUCGGGUAACCUACCACCCUUUGUUUAUUACACUUUGUUGCUUUGGCAGGCCUGCCUUCGGGCUGCUGGCUCCGGCCGGCGAGCGCUUGCCAGAGGAUCUAAACUCUGUUUGUCUAUACUGUCUGAGUACUAUAUAAUAGUUAAAACUUUCAACAACGGAUCUCUUGGUUCUGGCAUCGAUGAAGAACGCAGCGAAAUGCGAUAAGUAAUGUGAAUUGCAGAAUUCAGUGAAUCAUCGAAUCUUUGAACGCACAUUGCGCCCCCUGGUAUUCCGGGGGGCAUGCCUGUCCGAGCGUCAUUACAACCCUCAAGCUCUGCUUGGUGUUGGGCCCCGCCGCCCCGGCGGGCCCUAAAGUCAGUGGCGGUGCCAUCCGGCUCCGAGCGUAGUAAUUCUUCUCGCUCUGGAGGUCCGGUUGUGUGCUUGCCAUCAACCCCCAAUUUUUUUCAGGUUGACCUCGGAUCAGGUAGGGAUACCCGCUGAACUUAAGCAUAUCA